GAGGCGGAGGAGGAGGAGGAGGAGGCGGCGGAGGAGGAGGAGGAGGAGAAGAGGGAGCGUAGGACAGGCACAAAGAGCAUCCAGAGGGGAGCACGGAGGACGGGACAGGACGACAAGAGACACCCAGACGACAGCUUAUCAUUUAAGAGUGAAGUUGGGAUACCUGCUCCUGUUCAGCGCUUGUGGUGCUCGCUCAUCUUCUCUACUCUGUCCCGAUGAAGGAGGCCGAUGCCAUAAAGCUGUUUGUGGGGCAGAUUCCUCGGAAUCUGGAAGAGAAGGACCUCAAGCCAAUUUUUGAGCAGUUUGGCAAGAUCUAUGAGCUCACUGUGAUAAAGGAUAAAUACACUGGCAUGCACAAAGGAUGUGCGUUCCUGACGUACUGUGCGAGGGAGUCAGCGCUGAAAGCCCAGAGCGCCCUACAUGAGCAAAAAACUCUACCAGGAAUGAAUCGGCCAAUCCAGGUGAAACCAGCUGACAGUGAGGGCAGAGGAGAGGAUAGGAAAUUGUUUGUGGGUAUGCUGGGAAAACAACAGAGUGAUGAGGAUGUCAGACGGCUGUUUGAGCCUUUUGGCAGCAUUGAUGAGUGCACUGUGCUGAGAGGACCUGACGGUACCAGCAAAGGGUGUGCAUUUGUAAAAUUUCAGGGACAUGCUGAAGCCCAGGCCGCCAUCAACAGCUUGCACGGGAGUCGCACAAUGCCUGGAGCAUCAUCCAGUCUGGUGGUGAAGUUUGCCGACACAGAGAAGGAGCGGGGCCUGAGGAGGAUGCAGCAGGUGGCCUCCCAGCUCGGCAUCUUUAGCCCUAUGACGCUCAACUUCCCCGCCUACAAUGCCUACACACAGGCCGUCAACGCACAGCUUGUCCAACAUCAGGCCUUGGUUGCCCAGUCAGCUUACUUGUCUCCUGUGGCAACAGUUGCUGCUGUACAGAUGCAGCAGAUGGCAGCACUUAAUGCCAACGGAAUCAUUGCCACACCCAUUACACCCAUCACGCCAUCCUCCGGUACAAACACCCCGCCAACUAUUGCAGCCACGCCUGUGCCAGCUUUGCCUCCACCAAUAGGAGUGAAUGGUUACAGUAGCUUGCCUGCUGCCACCAAUGGACAACAAGCAACAGAAACACUAUACACCAAUGGUGUUCACCCAUAUCAAGCUCAGAGUCCAGCAGCAGCACUGGACCCUCUACAACAGGCCUAUGCAGGCAUGCAGCACUACACAGCAGCGUAUCCUGCUGCCUACGGAUUGGUGGGACAGCCAUUCCCCCAGCAGCCCACCCUGGUUGCCCAGCAACACCAGCAGCCCCAGCAACAGCAGCAGAGAGAAGGUCCUGAGGGCUGCAACAUCUUCAUCUACCACCUGCCUCAAGAGUUCAGUGACUCUGAGAUGCUGCAGAUGUUCCUGCCCUUUGGCAAUGUCAUCUCGGCUAAAGUGUUUCUUGAUCGUGCCACCAACCAGAGCAAAUGUUUCGGAUUUGUGAGUUUUGACAAUCCUGCCAGUGCUCAAGCAGCCAUUCAGGCAAUGAACGGUUUCCAGAUCGGUAUGAAAAGACUGAAGGUUCAGCUCAAAAGGCCUAAAGACGCCAACCGCCCGUACUGAGCAGGAAUUGAGAGGAGACAAUGUAAUAAAGAGAGAUCCUUCCAUCCAAUCAUAAUUUGUGAGGACCCCAUCGCUAUGGCAAAGGUUGCCUAGUGACCGAUAAAGCCCUGACCCCCCCCUUCCUCUCACAUUGUUGUAAACUAUCAGACUUCUGUUGAGGUGGAAUCCCAGGGUUCACUGUGCUUUCAGCCUGUCUCCUACCUUUGGGUGUCCUGAGAGUGCAACCACAUACACACACUGAGAUAUACGCGUGCAAAUAUACACAUGCACUCUCCACAGUGAGCCUCAAAUG